GCCUAGGAGCACGAGGACUCCAUUGCAGCUGCGCUGUCUGGCUGGCCGAGGGCUGCUUCUACUGCGGCUGCGCAACCUCGGCGCUCGUUCGUUUCACUUCUGCCAAAGGCUACUCCCUCACGCCGAGUUCCCUCGGGGCGUCUUUGUAGCGUACGGUUUCUC
rfam:Choloepus hoffmanni cont1.161615, whole genome shotgun sequence.